rnacentral:rRNA from 1 species
CCUACGGGAGGCAGCAGUGGGGAAUUUUGGACAAUGGGCGAAAGCCUGAUCCAGCAAUGCCGCGUGAGUGAAGAAGGCCUUCGGGUUGUAAAGCUCUUUUGUCAGGGAAGAAACGGUGAGGGCUAAUAUCCCUUGCUAAUGACGGUACCUGAAGAAUAAGCACCGGCUAACUACGUGCCAGCGGCCGCGGUAAUACGUAGGGUGCAAGCGUUAAUCGGAAUUACUGGGCGUAAAGCGUGCGCAGGCGGUUUUGUAAGUCUGUCGUGAAAUCCCCGGGCUCAACCUGGGAAUUGCGAUGGAGACUGCAAGGCUAGAAUCUGGCAGAGGGGGGUAGAAUUCCACGUGUAGCAGUGAAAUGCGUAGAGAUGUGGAGGAACACCGAUGGCGAAGGCAGCCCCCUGGGUCAAGAUUGACGCUCAUGCACGAAAGCGUGGGGAGCAAACAGGAUUAGAUACCCUGGUAGUCCACGCCCUAAACGAUGUCUACUAGUUGUCGGGUUUUAAUUAACUUGGUAACGCAGCUAACGCGUGAAGUAGACCGCCUGGGGGAGGUACGGUCGCGAGAAGUAAACGUAACAAUAGUAAGUUAGUACGGACGUGAGACGUAGACCGACGGACGACGACGAGGGAGGAGG